rnacentral:misc_RNA from 2 species
UGCCCCUCACUUGCCAAUACGUCUAGAUCAGCCAGGGCGUCGGCAUGUGUAGCGUAUUAUGUUGGGCUCUCUCGAGAUAAGGAUACGAUGUCCCUUUAUCGGUUGGUUUCCUGUGUGCGCGGCCCGUUCGUUUUUUUUGUUACUUUCGCAUCGUUCGGUGCAUUCUGGGGGCUGUGUUGGCUUUUGGUGGCUUGCUUGGCCUUUUGGCUUUGCUUGUUGCUACUUGUCGGGCUGCUUUCGGGAAUGUCGACCGUGGAGGUGCAUGAGUGGUGUUUGGUUUGUUACGUGUGGAUGGCUGUUUGCUUGUGCAACAACGUUCACGCUGCAUACCUCUUCAGUUUUGCGGCAAGGCUUGGUUUGGCUUGUGCAUAUUGUGGGUUUCCUGUGUUGCAUACCUAGUUGAUGGAAAAGUGUGGGUUUUACGAUUUUCAUUUUCGUCUUGCGUCGUUCUUUUGGCGUGGGAUGAACAAUGAAGCGAUCUUUAUGAUCCAUCGUGCUGUUGCGUUUGCAACAAUGAUGUGGCCUAUGAAGCAUCGUUUGGUCUCUUGUAUACGGAAGCUCAUUUGGGCUUGGGUCUUUAUAAGAUCUUCGUUACGCCCUUGUUAAGCGUUCUCGCUUCUCCUAAACGAUUG